GGACGGACGGCGUGUGUUCCUGGGUUUGGCAUGCAAUUUUUACGCAAUCCAAAGCGCCAGGUGUCACAUUUCUCAAUUCCCAGGCUGCUCUUUUGUGUGGAUCAGAGAAGAAGGACUUCUUCCCUGAAGUGAAAACCAGUGGUGCUGUUGGUCUUGAACCCCAAGAUGCAGAGAUGGCAGCGCAGCGCAGGAUAUAUUGUUGCAGUGAUCACAAACUCGCCGACCGAGUUUGGAUUCAGACAUCGUCUCUUACGGGCCUGCAUCUACAGUGAAGCCAUUGUUCAAGUCUUCUACGCUUAGACAAACACUUCCAUUUUGACCGACACAGCUUUUACAGACUUAGGCUAUGUCUACACUAAGCCGGAUAACUCAGUAAAUUAAUAAUUAUUUAGCCUAAGCCCCGUUUCAGCCACACUAACUCACCGUUUAAGGUUCCCCUCUUUGGAUAAUUUUUUUACACAGGUAAGUGCGCCGUGUUUUUCUUGAAUCUCCGGCUCUUAGCUUUGUAUGGACAAACUGAGUUCGGAGAGGAAGUGAUGCCAGAAAGACCGCGCCCCACACAGGAUGUGACGUCAGAAAGAACGCUCUACAGCCAGCUUCAUAAAAAACGGUUUCGUAACUCUGAGCUAACCACUGGAAAUAUGGAGGCGAGUCAUCCAGACAUGCCGUGUUUCUCCUUCUUCUACAUGUACAGACGCUUGUGGAAACCACACAUGAAUACCUUAAGAGAAAACGAUUGCAGCUAUUUGGGAUACAACACUUCUCAGACGGCAAGAGAACUUUCCAAUGUCCAGGUCAGCUGUGAUUCUACUUACCGAAAAACUUUGUCCAUUUGUCGAAGGAGAUGGGGGAGGGGGUCUUAAACGACCAUUAUGUGUGUGUGUGGACAAGGAUAAGGUUAGGUGGGAUUUUUCCUGGAUAACCUUAAAGGGGCCUUAAGGUACUGGUUGAUCAGAUCAGGAAAUCUAUACUGACCAAUUGCAUGCGAGUUGGGCCAUCCCAUGUGAAACUAUUCAGCCAUUCAAAUCUCUACUUUCCAGGACUUAAACAUGGUGACUUGAACUAAAGAGACAGACAAAGACCAAGACACUCAGUCAUGUAUGAUUUGUGAGUACUCCUUACACACUGUA